rnacentral:rRNA from 1 species
UAGGUACAGAGGGCAGCCACCCAGUGAUGGGGAGGCGAAUCUCGAAAGCCUAUCUCAGUUCGGAUUGGAGGCUGAAACUCGCCUCCAUGAAGUUGGAUUCGCUAGUAAUCGCGCAUCAGCCAUGGCGCGGUGAAUACGUUCCCGGGCCUUGUACACACCGCCCGUCAAGCCAUGGGAGUUGGGGGUGCCUGAAGUUCGUGACCGAAAGGAGCGACCUAGGGCAAAACCGAUGACUGGGGCUAAGUCGUAACAAGGUAAC